rnacentral:rRNA from 1 species
AUUGAACGCUGGCGGCAGGCCUAACACAUGCAAGUCGAACGAGUGGCGGACGGGUGAGUAAUGUCUGGGAAACUGCCCGAUGGAGGGUGAUAACUACUGGAAACAGUAGCUAAUACCGCAUACCAUCGGAUGUUCCCAGAUGGGAUUAGCUAGUAGGUGGGGUAACGGCUCACCUAGGCGACGAUCCCUAGCUGGUCUGAUAGGAUGACCAGCCAGACUGGAACUGAGACACGGUCCAGACUAAUACGGAGGGCAGGAGGGGGGAAUAUUGCACAAUGGGCGCAAGCCUGAUGCAGCCAGGCCGCGUGGAUGAAGAAGGACUUCGGGUUGUAAAGUACUUUCAGCGAGGAGGCGUUACUAGCAGAAGAAGAACCGGCUAACUCCGUGCCAGCAGCCGCGGUAAUUC